rnacentral:rRNA from 1 species
UCNNNNNNNNNNNNNNNNNNNNGACGAAAAAUGAAUACCAAGUCUCAAGAGUGAACACGUAAUUCAUUACGAAGUUUAAUUCAUUGAGCAUCAAACUUUUAAAUUGAAGAGUUUGAUCAUGGCUCAGAUUGAACGCUGGCGGCAGGCCUAACACAUGCAAGUCGAACGGUAACAGGAAGCAGCUUGCUGCUUUGCUGACGAGUGGCGGACGGGUGAGUAAUGUCUGGGAAACUGCCUGAUGGAGGGGGAUAACUACUGGAAACGGUGGCUAAUACCGCAUAACGUCGCAAGACCAAAGAGGGGGACCUUCGGGCCUCUUGCCAUCAGAUGUGCCCAGAUGGGAUUAGCUUGUUGGUGAGGUAACGGCUCACCAAGGCGACGAUCCCUAGCUGGUCUGAGAGGAUGACCAGCCACACUGGAACUGAGACACGGUCCAGACUCCUACGGGAGGCAGCAGUGGGGAAUAUUGCACAAUGGGCGCAAGCCUGAUGCAGCCAUGCCGCGUGUAUGAAGAAGGCCUUCGGGUUGUAAAGUACUUUCAGCGGGGAGGAAGGUGUUGUGGUUAAUAACCGCAGCAAUUGACGUUACCCGCAGAAGAAGCACCGGCUAACUCCGUGCCAGCAGCCGCGGUAAUACGGAGGGUGCAAGCGUUAAUCGGAAUUACUGGGCGUAAAGCGCACGCAGGCGGUCUGUCAAGUCGGAUGUGAAAUCCCCGGGCUCAACCUGGGAACUGCAUUCGAAACUGGCAGGCUUGAGUCUUGUAGAGGGGGGUAGAAUUCCAGGUGUAGCGGUGAAAUGCGUAGAGAUCUGGAGGAAUACCGGUGGCGAAGGCGGCCCCCUGGACAAAGACUGACGCUCAGGUGCGAAAGCGUGGGGAGCAAACAGGAUUAGAUACCCUGGUAGUCCACGCCGUAAACGAUGUCUACUUGGAGGUUGUGCCCUUGAGGCGUGGCUUCCGGAGCUAACGCGUUAAGUAGACCGCCUGGGGAGUACGGCCGCAAGGUUAAAACUCAAAUGAAUUGACGGGGGCCCGCACAAGCGGUGGAGCAUGUGGUUUAAUUCGAUGCAACGCGAAGAACCUUACCUGGUCUUGACAUCCACGGAAGUUUUCAGAGAUGAGAAUGUGCCUUCGGGAACCGUGAGACAGGUGCUGCAUGGCUGUCGUCAGCUCGUGUUGUGAAAUGUUGGGUUAAGUCCCGCAACGAGCGCAACCCUUAUCCUUUGUUGCCAGCGGUCCGGCCGGGAACUCAAAGGAGACUGCCAGUGAUAAACUGGAGGAAGGUGGGGAUGACGUCAAGUCAUCAUGGCCCUUACGACCAGGGCUACACACGUGCUACAAUGGCGCAUACAAAGAGAAGCGACCUCGCGAGAGCAAGCGGACCUCAUAAAGUGCGUCGUAGUCCGGAUUGGAGUCUGCAACUCGACUCCAUGAAGUCGGAAUCGCUAGUAAUCGUGGAUCAGAAUGCCACGGUGAAUACGUUCCCGGGCCUUGUACACACCGCCCGUCACACCAUGGGAGUGGGUUGCAAAAGAAGUAGGUAGCUUAACCUUCGGGAGGGCGCUUACCACUUUGUGAUUCAUGACUGGGGUGAAGUCGUAACAAGGUAACCGUAGGGGAACCUGCGGUUGGAUCACCUCCUUACCUUAAAGAANNNNNNNNNNNNNNNNNNNNAGUGCUCACACAGAUUGUCUGAUGAAAA